AGAAUGAACGUUGGCGGCGUGGAUUAGGCAUGCAAGUCGUACGGGCCGCAAGGCCAGUGGCGCAAGGGUGAGUAAGGCGACGGUAACCAACCCCAUGAUUGGGUAUAGCCGUGGGAAACCGCGGGUAAUCCCCAGCGACGUCAAUCGGAGGCAUCUCUGGUUGACCAAAGCUCUGGCGUCGUGGGACGGGCUGUCGUGGUAUUAGCUAGUUGGCGGGGUAACGGCCCACCAAGGCUUUGAUGCCUACCGGGCGUGCGAGCGUGGCCCGGCACACUGGGACUGAGACACUGCCCAGACUCCUACGGGAGGCUGCAGUCGAGAAUCUUCGGCAAUGGGCGCAAGCCUGACCGAGCGACGCCGCGUGGAGGACGAAGGCCUUCGGGUUGUAAACUCCUGUCGAGGGGGAAGAAGGGGUAAACCUUGACUGAUCCCUGGAGGAAGCACGGGCUAAGUUCGCGCCAGCAGCCGC
rnacentral:rRNA from 1 species